rnacentral:lncRNA from 1 species
CCUAGGCUGAAAUAACCAGCACUACUUGCCAAACACUUUAGAAAGAUUAUGUUUCUUCUCCAUUACAGAAGUGGAACAUAUGGUUCAGUUUGCAGCAAGAUCCUCCCAGGAAAGUGAAGCGGAGAAAAUGGAGGUAGAAACUAUUCUCCUCAUUAAACUACCUGCCCUCUGUAAUGUAGCUCUUCUGUGCUGCAGAAAUUGAUACUACACAAGAAAAGAAAUGAUGGGAGAAUAGUGAAGAAGAGAAGAACUGGCCAGGUUUCUUUCAUGUCAGAUGGAUUGGAAUGGGACAAGGCACUUUUCAGAUUCAGCUAUGGGGGAAACAAAAGACAGAAGACAAAAGUUCUCACUUCUCAAAGAGCUAAGUUUCUUUAUAAUCUCUUUAUGCUCCAAGAUGUGUGUGUGUUGUGGGGUGGGAGGGGCGGUAUUGUCUCUUUAAUUAAAUACUUUACCAGGUACUUUUUUCCAAGUACUCACAGUUCUAUCUUAAUCAAGUAUCCAAAUCUCUUCUGAAAA